GACGAACGCUGGCGGCGUGCUUAACACAUGCAAGUCGAACGGUAAGGCCCUUCGGGGUACACGAGUGGCGAACGGGUGAGUAACACGUGGGUGAUCUGCCCUGCACUUCGGGAUAAGCCUGGGAAACUGGGUCUCAUACCGGAUAGGACCCUUGCCUGCAUGGGUGGUGGUGGAAAGCUUUUGCGGUGUGGGAUGGGCCCGCGGGCUAUCAGCUUGUUGGUGGGGUGAUGGCCUACCAAGGCGACGACGGGUAGCCGGCCUGAGAGGGUGACCGGCCACACUGGGACUGAGAUACGGCCCAGACUCCUACGGGAGGCAGCAGUGGGGAAUAUUGCACAAUGGGCGCAAGCCUGAUGCAGCGACGCCGCGUGAGGGAUGACGGCCUUCGGGUUGUAAACCUCUUUCAGCACCGACGAAGCGCAAGUGACGGUAGGUGCAGAAGAAGGACCGGCCAACUACGUGCCAGCCGCCGCGGUAA
rnacentral:rRNA from 1 species